rnacentral:rRNA from 1 species
GCUUACCAUGCGAGUCGAACGGUCCUUCGGGACAGUGGCGGACGGGUGAGUAACACGUGGGAACGUGCCCUUAGCUUCGGAACAACCCAGGGAAACUUGGGCUAAUACCGGAUAAGCCCUUCGGGGGAAAGAUUUAUCGGCUUUGGAGCGGCCCGCGUCUGAUUAGCUAGUUGGUGGGGUAAUGGCCUACCAAGGCGACGAUCAGUAGCUGGUCUGAGAGGAUGACCAGCCACAUUGGGACUGAGACACGGCCCAAACUCCUACGGGAGGCAGCAGUGGGGAAUCUUGCGCAAUGGGCGAAAGCCUGACGCAGCCAUGCCGCGUGGAUGAUGAAGGUCUUAGGAUUGUAAAAUCCUUUCAGCGGGGACGAUAAUGACGGUACCCGCAGAAGAAGCCCCGGCUAACUUCGUGCCAGCAGCCGCGGUAAUACGAAGGGGGCUAGCGUUGCUCGGAAUUACUGGGCGUAAAGGGAGCGUAGGCGGGUCGUUUAGUCAGAGGUGAAAUCCCGGGGCUCAACCUCGGAACUGCCUUUGAUACUGGCGACCUUGAGUAUGGGAGAGGUGAGUGGAACUCCGAGUGUAGAGGUGAAAUUCGUAGAUAUUCGGAAGAACACCAGUGGCGAAGGCGACUCACUGGCCCAUUACUGACGCUGAGGCUCGAAAGCGUGGGGAGCAAACAGGAUUAGAUACCCUGGUAGUCCACGCUGUAAACGAUGAGAGCUAGUUGUCGGCACGCAUGCGUGUCGGUGACGCAGCUAACGCAUUAAGCUCUCCGCCUGGGGAGUACGUCGCAGA